CUUCUUGAUGAUGAGAGUUACAUUCAUAGAGUUCUUCAUACGAGUACAACUUAUAUUGAAUAUAAAUCAGAUGCUACUAAUUCAGUCUGAACAGAUAUGGAAUGGUAUAUACUGUGUGUAUAAUCUCUGUAUGAUGUGUAUUAAGUCGUUUCAUUAUUGCCUUGUCUUAGGAUGGCCUACAUAUUUCUUUGCGUAAUGCUUUUGUAAGUUUUGUUAGCUCAUGCACUGAGAAGCGAUUAUAGAACACCCGUCCAGUUGUCCACUUUUCCAGCUAUCUUCACUUAGCUUGGUUGUCAAGAUACGGAAUGAGAAAAAAAUUACGUAAUUAUAUAUAAUUAUUAUGAAGGUUGUGCUAUUUUAAAAAGAUUGGGUAAGCGUAUCAAGAAGUACAGGUGUUCUAUAAUUUUUCCAGUCUCAUUCACAAACUUCCCCCCUUAGUGACGGCCACUGAUAACUAGCAAGUUUCUAUUUUAUAGACUUGGUGUUGGUUCUAUUGAUAGUGUCCAUGAUAUGUUUUUGCGCUUUCGUAAUGGCUGUUGGCGUAAGUAAUGUAAUACGGAAUAGUUUUCCUUUCAUCUCCAUCACACUACUUCCACAAGCUGUUCUAGAUGCGUCUGAAAUAUACAAAGCCGGGAUUUUUAUGGAAGUAUUGGUAUAAGUAGUAUGCAAAGUUAUACAAAGUGGACCAGGUGGAGCAUUAGAGCUCCACCCAUUACGUCAUCAGGAUAUCAUUUCAUAUCAAUUACACGCGAAUCAAACUACUGUUUUUUGCAUUUUUAUGCGAGAACCCAAGGAACCCCAAGAGAACCUCUGCAGAAUUACAACAACUUUUGUAGAAUAUAUAUCGAGAACGUGUUAAAAUUCAUUAAGUUUGUUAGAAGGAAUAUAUGUGGGAUAAAUAUUGGCAAAUUAUUAAACUGUAAAAUUUUUUUUUAAAUGCUAGUAAUCAUUGGUCCACACUCAUUUAAAUACAUUACAAGCGCGUGUAAUUGAUAUGAAAUGAUAUCCUGAUGACUUAAUGGGUGGACCUUUAAUGCUCCACCCGGUCCAGAACCCACUUUGUACACUACUGGUGUACCAAACUUCAAUAAUGGUCUUCAAUCUCGUUGCAUGUCGAAAGUCUCAGUCUCGUUGCAUGUCAACCUUACGAUUUUAGGACGGCAACGCGACGACGACGGCCAAAACAAACUCCUUCAAAUAAAUGGUAGUAAAGAUAAUUCGUGGUAUAUAUCAAUCGUAUGAAUUUAAUACAGUUUUAGAAGUUGAAGACAUGCGUUUUAUGGUUGGGAAGAGUUCUGCUAAACCCAGUUUGAAGUUGCACUUGUUGCGGCUUGGAAUGCAGCCGUUGUAUCAAGACGUGAAAAUCUGUGAUUUGGCGUUGUAAACAGAGCGAGGACAAUGUCUAAAUUAUUCAUUUAUUGUAUUUAUUCAAUUCUUUUCAAUGAUCUAUUGUAUUGGUAGCCGUCGCCGUCGCGUUGCCGUCCUAAAAUCGUAAGGUCUUUAAUAAUAGUCCUGAGCGCGCGGCAUAUUUUCGAUUGUUGUGCGGAUUUUUUUCACCUGUGAAUUUUGCAAGUACGACAAAUACCGCCUCACAUUUGCCUUUUGAGUUUUCAUAGCAGGAUAUAUGCAUUGGGUAUUAACGAAAAUUUGAAGCAAUUUUAUCAUGACGCUCAAGACUUGCGGUUUACCCGCGAAGGACUUUUUGAAACUAUCAAACACCUUUACACAAAACAUAAAAUAAGUAGGACUUUGAAGAUUUUGUGGUUGUUGCAAUUUUUCCGCCGUGAUUGUGACAACUGCCAAAAUAAUUUCACAAGGCACAAAAAUUGACAUACAGUGGACAUCCAUUCUGAUUCAGUGAUUCAGUGUAUUUUCUUAGCAGGUAUGAUAACGAGUUGCGAUAUGUAUAUAAUUUAUUUUGAGGCAACGAGGGGAUAUGUGAUAAACACAUAUUCCCAGGUGCCUCAAAAUAACGUACAUAAUUAUUUUUUCACAUUGCGAGGUCGCGUUAGUGAGUCAGAAUAGAAAUAAUUCUUAUUAAUGCCAUAAUUGCCUUCGUGUGUUGUUUUUUCUCAUUUUUUGUGCUGCAAAGACAUUGCAGGUGAAUAUUAGAGGGGAUUAUUAGAGGGGAUUAUUAUAGGGGAUUAUAUUAGAGGGGAUUAAUUAUUAGAGGGGAAUAUUGAAUAUAUUCCCCGAUAAGAACAAAGGAAACCGAGCAGGGUGAAAAAUAAUUUACGCUGCUGUUGUUAUUGGUAGAUCCAGUUUCUAUAAUAUAAUGGAUUGUAGAAGCCUUUUUAAAAUGGUCAGCAAGUCACAGAGUCGAUAAACAAGUCAGGCAGCUCAUUGACAUAUUUAUUUGGAUUUCGUUCACUUUCAACAAUUUAAAUUGUAAUUUCUUUGUAUCGAUUUGAAUCGAGAAACAAUUUUUGAAAGCGUAUGUUUGCAUUUUUAGGUGUUAUUUAUUUACUCUAGCUUUUUCUUACUUUAAUGCAUGGUUUGUGUUAAAAUAUCAAUGAACGAGCGGGAAAGCAAGUGGGCACACAUCAGAGCCAUUAUGUUGUCAAUAUUUAUAGAGGGUCCUGAAGGGGUAAAAUGGGAACUGGGAUUUGCUUAUUUUUUGGGUGGGAAAAUGGGAUUUCAUGCACUGGGACUGGGAUUCAUCAGCAAAAAAACAAUAGAAAAUGGGAAUGGGAUUAAGAUUUGAGCAGGACAGCCACUGAGAUGAUGGGAUUUGUGCUCUGGGACAAUGGGAUUUAGUCAAAAUUUGGGCUGGGGAAAUGAGGCUGACCCCUAGGACCCUCUUUAUAAUUUUGCAGUGAGUGAGUUUUGAUUUCAUUCUGCUCAUGCUGGUUGCUGGUCGCAAGCGCUGGCAUGUUCGUUGCCUACUACUCCAAGUGGAUGCAGCAUGAUAACAAACAAUUGCAAAAAAAUGUUUUUAACACAUCUGACAUAUUUUAUUAAGAUAUAUAUUUCGCCAUUCCCACUUGCUUUUCUUUGCUUUUGUAACUCUUUUUUGUAACUCUUUGCUUUGCUUUUGUAAUUAAGGUCCAGGCUGUGGCAAGCUGUACUAACUUUGGGUUUGCAAUUAUAUCAUGCUUCGUGGGACUUUGGAUAUUACUGAAGGUGGAUCAUAAAAGUUUCGGUAAGUCGUGCGGUGACCAACAAUUCUAUUAGCCACGCCGGUGCCCCAUGAAAUAUGUUACCUACGGCCAUAUUUUCGAGGAAAUUUGUAGGGGGGUUUUGCAUGGGGAGCAAAGCUUGUUAGAAAUGCAAUAAACUUCCAUGCCAAUGAAUAUACCUAAUCAGUAAACAUGAGUAUUUCUUUGUUGUAAAUGGGGUGAAUAAACUCUUAAUAAAGGAGGGGGGUCUUGGUUAGUUUCAUUCCUUUAAAAAGUGGAGGGUUAUUAGACAGGGUGUGUUUAUUUGAGAAGAUAUGCACUAACUGAUCCUUUGUUCUAGGCAUGGCCCUUAUGCAAUUAGCCUUUUAUUUUUACUGUGCCGUUUGGAUACCUGUCCAGGAAUGUCGGAGAAUCUUCCAGCAAAUUCGGCCAACAACAAGAGAGCUCGACGGGCUUGCCGAUGCCACAGAAGAACAACUUGAAAACACGAGAAAUGAAAGUACACAUUGCCC